rnacentral:rRNA from 1 species
CAGGAUGAACGCUGGCGGCGUGCCUAAUACAUGCAAGUCGAACGAGGUAGCAAUACCGAGUGGCGAACGGGUGAGUAACACGUAGGUAACCUGCCCUUAAGCUUGGGAUACCCAGAGGAAACUUUGGCUAAUACCGGAUAACAACAGAGAAGGCAUCUUCUUUGCUUGAAAGGCCCCUUCAAGGGUCACUUAAGGAUGGACCUGCGGCGCAUUAGCUAGUUGGUGAGAUAACAGCCCACCAAGGCGAGGAUGCGUAGCCGAACUGAGAGGUUGAUCGGCCACAUUGGAACUGAGACACGGUCCAAACUCCUACGGGAGGCAGCAGUAAGGAGUUUUCGGCAAUGGGGGAAACCCUGACCGAGCAACGCCGCGUGAGCGAUGACGGUCCUUUGGAAUUGUAAAGCUCUGUUGUAAGCCAUGAAUGACAGCUUGAGGAAAUGCAAGUUGUUUGACGACAGCUUACCAGAAAGCCACGGCUAACUACGUGCCAGCCGCCGC